UCACCGGAAACUCAAUUGGGAGAGUAUCAGACUAAAGAUCUGAUGGUCACGUGUUUGAUCCAUGUUCACUGCA
rnacentral:tRNA from 1 species